CACCCUUCAUCAAAUUCAAGUGAACAUUAGACGAGCGAAGGCUUCCUGUUCUUAGUGGCGUAGUUGAAAUGAUGCUUCCUGUCAGCAGACGUUAAGGUAAAGGCAGUCUCUUCAGUGUGACGUCACUGCCACUUGCUCGACUCGAAACCAAAGGCGAGGUUUAGAGUUUGGGGAACAAGUCCAGGAAGCUGUGUCAACCGAUAAGACAGAGAACUUAUGUCGCUUUAACACAGACAGCUUUUUCUAUGUUAGGUUAGAAUUGAGGUAAGAUUUGGAAAUAGGUUUUGGCGUGCGACGACCUGCCGGCUGCUUUCACUGUACGGUGUGUGGCUGUACACACCCUGACUCCUGGACAUGGCAGGUCUUUGGGGUCUGAAGAUGCUGUUCUGGGCCGGGAUCAUCGGUUUGACCUACUCUCAAACCACCACAAAUGACAGCAAACGUGAGUUCCAAUAUAUUUAUGAUGUUAUUCAGUUUAUAACAUUUACUUCUUAUUAUGUUGUUUUCAGACUUGUUUAAUUCCAGUUGUCCCCCUGCUGUGCUUCCUGAUGUAGCAUGCAUCUCCCUCAGCCUCAUGUGUAAAUGUACACAGUCCUCAAACACUUACUAUGAAAUGACAGACAUGUGUCUUCUUACUUAAACUGAUGAACAGAAGCUUCGAUCUGGGUCAUCUGUGUCAGACAGAAUUUAAACGCAAA